AGCAGCAGUCAAGGUGUGAUUUCUGGAACAGAUCCUCAAGGCCUGGAGUCUGACACCCUGCUGUUGAUCGUCCUUGCUCCAGAACAUGUUUAAAAUAAAAGAAACUAAGUCAUUUUAUUUACUUAAUCAUUUUGAUACAACUAAUCUUUACUCAUAGAUCGAAUUGAAGCAUCACAAUCAAUCAAAAGGGAAUAAAUCAACACCUCUAGACUUCCUCAUUGGCUGUCCCCUUUAAGCAGGAAGUGGAUUCUUCUUCUUCUUUUCGCCCCAUAGCACCAGGAUGCAUACAUUCUGGGUGUCUGGCUGUCUGGCGACACGGACCAAUCUGUCAGUUGGUGGCACGUUACUUCAACGAUUGGGGAGCCUCACCUUUCCUCUCCGAGCUGCAGGUCACGGUGUGGAUGGUGGGGACGGAUCUGGCAGGACGGAGGCCCUGUUUGUCCAGCUUGCCUUGCUCACUUUUGGAGCGCUGCUGGAGGACUUUGAUCACAGCAUCUUUCUCCAGGAGCUGAGCGUGGAGAACGCGGAUCCUAAACAGAAAAAAACACAAUUUUAUAGCUGCCACAAGACAAAAAGACAAAAAACACAAACACAAAUCAAGCACCUGUUCUCCAUUUCUUGAUGUCUGUGACUCAACAGAGGCAGGUCCUCGUUGAAGCUGUUAUUUGGAGAAUGCCGGGGUGAAUGGUUGAUGAUUGUUGUGUCUCUGAAAGUUAAGCCACAGCUGUUAAUAAACCUUAUCUUUUAA